rnacentral:rRNA from 1 species
GACGAACGCUGGCGGCGUGCUUAACACAUGCAAGUCGAACGGAAAGGCCCUGCUUUUGUGGGGUGCUCGAGUGGCGAACGGGUGAGUAACACGUGAGUAACCUGCCCUUAACUUUGGGAUAACUUCAGGAAACUGGGGCUAAUACCGGAUAGGAGCUCCUGCUGCAUGGUGGGGGUUGGAAAGUUUCGGCGGUUGGGGAUGGACUCGCGGCUUAUCAGCUUGUUGGUGGGGUAGUGGCUUACCAAGGCUUUGACGGGUAGCCGGCCUGAGAGGGUGACCGGCCACAUUGGGACUGAGAUACGGCCCAGACUCCUACGGGAGGCAGCAGUGGGGAAUAUUGCACAAUGGGCGGAAGCCUGAUGCAGCAACGCCGCGUGCGGGAUGACGGCCUUCGGGUUGUAAACCGCUUCCGCCUGUGACGAAGCGUGAGUGACGGUAAUGGGUAAAGAAGCACCGGCUAACUACGUG